rnacentral:rRNA from 1 species
GACGAACCGUGCGAACGUUGUUCGGAAUCACUGGGCUUAAAGGGCGCGUAGGCGGGCUACCAAGUCUGUGGUGAAAUCCUCCAGCUCAACUGGAGAACGGCCGUGGAUACUGGUGGUCUCGAGGGAGAUAGGGGCAAGCGGAACUGUGCGUGGAGCGGUGAAAUGCGUUGAUAUGCACAGGAACUCCGGUGGCGAAGGCGGCUUGCUGGAUCUCUUCUGACGCUGAGGCGCGAAAGCUAGGGGAGCGAACGGG